UGUAUAUUUUUAAGAAUUUUAAAAAAAUUAAUAACAUAAUUGAAUUACUUUGCCAUAAAAAGAAUUUCAAAAUGAAUAAAAAAAAGAUUAUAAAAUUUAUACAACGUACUGUUAUGCAGAAGUGGGUGGAGAAAUACUUUUAGGCAGUAUUUGGUUUGAAAUUUAUUUUUUUGUAUUAUUUCUGUUUCAUUUGGCAAAAAAAUUAGUUAUGAGAUAACACAAUUCAGUCAUAUCCUGUAAAUAUCUUUUUUUUCUUAUUUCCAAAAUAAUUUA
rnacentral:lncRNA from 1 species